rnacentral:misc_RNA from 1 species
GGAAGUAAAGGUCGUAACAAGGUCUCCGUUGGUGAACCAGCGGAGGGAUCAUUACAGAGUUGCAAAACUCCCAAACCAUUGUGAACGUUACCUAUCCCGUUGCUUCGGCGGGCGGCCCGGGCCCCGCGCCCGGCGCCCCCCGGCCCCCCGUGGGCGCCCGCCGGAGGUAAACCAAACCCUUGAAUUGCAUGGCCUCUCUGAGUCUUCUGUACUGAAUAAGUCAAAACUUUCAACAACGGAUCUCUUGGUUCUG